CCAUGAUCAGCAGACAUUGUCCCAAGAUAUGAGGAUAAGGAGAUCCAAAAGCUCUCAGAGUUAGAAGAAGAUCGAAUAUCAAGUUGAGAUGGAGAUUAUUAGGAUUCGAUACCUUAAGAUUCGAUCCAUAUUGAGCUGACAGUGAGGUCCAGGACAACGAACAAAGUCCAACGAGUCUAAGAUCAGCCCUAACAGAGUCCAAA
rnacentral:lncRNA from 1 species